rnacentral:rRNA from 1 species
CGGUGAGUAACGCGUAGGUAUCUGUCCAUGGGUGGGGGAUAACAGUGGGAAACUGCUGCUAAUACCGCAUGACACCUAAGGGUCAAAGGCGCAAGUCGCCUGUGGAGGAGCCUGCGUACGAUUAGCUAGUUGGUGAGGUAACGGCUCACCAAGGCUUUGAUCGGUAGCCGGUCUGAGAGGAUGGCCGGCCACACUGGAACUGAGACACGGUCCAGACUCCUACGGGAGGCAGCAGUGGGGAAUAUUGCGCAAUGGGCGAAAGCCUGACGCAGCGACGCCGCGUGGGGGAUGAAGCUUCUCGGAGUGUAAACCCCUUUCGACCCGGACGAAUGACCCGCAAGGGUUUGACGGUACGGGUAUAAGAAGCCCCGGCUAACUACGUGCCAGCAGCCGCGGUGAUACGAGGGGGGCAAGCGUUGUUCGGAAUUAUUGGGCGUAAAGGGCGCGUAGGCGGUGCGGUAAGUCACCUGUGAAAUCUCCGGGCUUAACUCGGAGCCUGCAGGCGAAACUGCCGUGCUGGAGUAUGGGAGAGGUGCGUGGAAUCCCCGGUGUAGCGGUGAAAUGCGUAGAUAUCGGGAGGAACACCUGUGGCGAAAGCGGCGCACUGGACCAUAACUGACGCUGAGGCGCGAAAGCUAGGGGAGCAAACAGGAUUAGAUACCCUGGUAGUCCUAGCCCUAAACGAUGGAUGCUUGGUGUGGCCGGUACCCAAUCCGGCUGUGCCGAAGCUAACGCGAUAAGCAUCCCGCCUGGGGAGUACGGUCGCAAGGCUGAAACUCAAAUGAAUUGAC